GCCGGGCGUGGUGGCGGGCGCCUGUAAUCCCAGCUACUUGGGAGGCGGAGGUAGGAGAAUCGUUUGAACCCGGGAGGCCCAGGUUGCAGUGAGCCGAGAUCGCGCCACUGCACUCCAUCCUGGGUGACAGAAUGAGACUCCAUCUCAC
ensembl:misc_RNA Metazoa_SRP Metazoan signal recognition particle RNA